rnacentral:rRNA from 1 species
AGAGUUUGAUCAUGGCUCAGAAUCAACGCUGGCGGCGUGCCUAACACAUGCAAGUCGAACGCGAAAGGGGAGCAAUCCCUGAUCGAGUGGCAAACGGGUGAGUAACACGUGGGUGACCUACCUUCGAGUGGGGGAUAACGUCCCGAAAGGGACGCUAAUACCGCAUGACAUCCUGCUUUUGGAAAAGCGGACAUUAAAGCUGGGGAUCGCAAGACCUGGCGCUUGAAGAGGGGCCCGCGCCUGAUUAGCUAGUUGGUGGGGUAACGGCUCACCAAGGCUACGAUCAGUAUCCGGCCUGAGAGGGCGGACGGACACACUGGGACUGAGACACGGCCCAGACUCCUACGGGAGGCAGCAGUGGGGAAUUGUUCGCAAUGGGCGCAAGCCUGACGACGCAACGCCGCGUGGAGGACGAAGAUCUUCGGGUCGUAAACUCCUGUCGAGCGGGAAGAACGCUUCCCGGGUAAAUAUCCUGGGAAAUUGACGGUACCGCUAAAGGAAGCCUCGGCUAACUCCGUGCCAGCAGCUGCGGUA